ACGGAGGGUGCAAGCGUUAUUCGGAAUUACUGGGCGUAAAGGGCGUGCAGGCGGGAGAGCAAGUCUGAUGUGAAAGCCCGGGGCUUAACCCCGGAAGGGCAUUGGAAACUGCUUUUCUUGAGUUCUGGAGAGGAAGGGAGAAUUCCCGGUGUAGAGGUGAAAUUCGUAGAGAUCGGGAGGAACAUCAGUGGCGAAGGCGCCCUUCUGGACAGCAACUGACGCUGAGACGCGAAAGCGUGGGGAGCAAACAG
rnacentral:rRNA from 1 species